rnacentral:lncRNA from 1 species
CAAGACCAGAGGUGCAGAGUCAAAGGAAAAAUGGGACAUUUGCAUAAACAGAUUGAAGACAGGCAAAUACAUCAUUAAAGGGCGCAACAUGUGGAUCACGCAAUGGCCAUGGUCCUCAGGAGCACCAGUACCAGCGUGCCACUGGUCUUAAAUAGCACUGGUGAGCCUCUGGUGGUGCCCAGCAGUGGGAGAGCUCGAGUCCAGGCAAGCGGUGGAUGCGCCCCAUGUCUUUGCUGCCUGGGGUUAGACCCCAGCUUCCGGAGCAGGGAAGAUAGCUUUGUAGCUAACCAAGCUCCUUCAUGGUGGGAAUUAA